rnacentral:tRNA from 1 species
UCCUGAUGGCUUAGAUGGUAAAGAAUCUGCCUGCAAUGCAGGAGACCUGAGUUCAAUCCCUAGGUUAGGAA